GUGGGGUGAAGGAAAUGCUUUAGCGGCUGGCAUUGAGUUCAUCGGUAGGGGAAGGGAAGAUUGGCUUCGACGUCGUCGUCGUCGUCGCUGUUCUUGAUUUCGUCCUUCUUCUUUUUCUUUAAGAGUGCUCAAAUGGCCAUACUCUAUGUUCUGGAUGCAAACCUAGAGUUCACAGUCGAUGCCCCACUUGCAGGCAUGAGCUAGGCAAUAUAAGGUGUCUUGCAUUGGAGAAGGUUGCAUCUUCUCUUGAACUGCCUUGCAAGUACCAAAACUUUGGUUGUUUGGGUAUAUAUCCAUAGUACUGCAAACUAAAACAUGAAUCACAAUGCACAUUCAGACCCUACACUUGUCCGUACGCUGGAUCUGAGUGCACAGUUGCCGGUGACAUUCCUUAUCUGGUGACUCAUCUAAAAGAUGAUCACAAGGUUGACAUGCACAUUGGGGGCUCCUUCAAUUAUAGAUUUAUUAAAUCCAAACCAUACGAGGUUGAGAAUGCAACCUGGAUGCUGAUGGUUUUCAGUUGCUUUGGACAGUACUUCUGCCUUCACUUCGUGGCAUUUCAGCUAGGUAUGACACUGGGAUAUGAUGAUGAAGCUAAAUGCUACAGCUAUAGCCUCGAGGUUGGAGGUUAAGGAAGAUAACAUGGCAAGGAGUUCCCCGAAGUAUAAGAGACAGUCAUUGGAAGGUGAGAGACAGGUUACAAUGGACACAUUAUCCAAGUUGAAAUAUGGCUCUUUUUUCCUCUUUGCUCACUUCAUGGGCUGGAGUACUGAGUACCUCCCUAGUCUUUGGAUGAUUAUGAUUUUGUAGGUGUCAUUAUGCGUUAUUAGAAGCAAAUCCCUUUGCUCCAUUGAUGCUCAAACUUGUUUAAAAUGUGCUAGCACAUCUUGAGGCUAUAAAUUCUAUAUGGUAGACAAGCAAAUCUUCAUGUCCAAUGCAUAAUUCUAUAUAUUUCACUUCCCUCUUCUGUUUCCUUU